rnacentral:rRNA from 1 species
UACAGAGGUCCCAAGCGUUGUUCGGAUUCACUGGGCGUAAAGGGUGCGUAGGCGGUCGGGUAAGUCUGAUGUGAAAUCUCACAGCUUAACUGUGAAACUGCAUUGAUACUAUUCGGCUUGAGAGUUGGAGGGGGGACUGGAAUUCUUGGUGUAGCAGUGAAAUGCGUAGAUAUCAAGAGGAACACCAGUGGCGAAGGCGAGUCCCUGGACAACUUCUGACGCUGAGGCACGAAAGCUAGGGGAGCAAACAGG